UAGUGGCGGACGGGUGAGUAACGCGUGAGUAACCUGCCUUUUAGAGGGGGAUAACGUCUUGAAAAGGACGCUAAUACCGCAUAAUAUCUUUUUACCGCAUGGUAGAGAGAUCAAAGGAGCAAUCCGCUGAAAGAUGGACUCGCGUCCGAUUAGCCAGUUGGCGGGGUAACGGCCCACCAAAGCGACGAUCGGUAGCCGGACUGAGAGGUUGAACGGCCACAUUGGGACUGAGACACGGCCCAGACUCCUACGGAAGGCAGCAG
rnacentral:rRNA from 1 species